UCUGAACAAAGACUGUACUUUUAGAAUAAAACAACUGAGAGAAACAGAUGCAAAAACAUAUUACUUCAGGUUCCUGACUGAUUUUGAUGGAAAAUAUAGUGGCAAAACUGGUGUCUCAUUGACAGUCACAGCUCUACAGGUGAGGGUGAAUCCUGGCUCAGUGACAGAGGGACAGAGUGUAACACUGACCUGUAACACCACCUGCACUCUGACUGGCAGCCCAGUCUUCACCUGGUACAGAAACGGAUCUCCUCUGUCCUUCACCACCCAGAGACACCAGCUCACAGCCAGCAGUGAAGAUGGAGGCACAUACUCCUGUGCUGUAAACGGAUCUGAGCUUCUCCCCUCCCCUGCAGUGGCUCUUACUGUGAACUAUCCUCCUAAGAGCACCUCAGUAUCAGUGAGCCCCUCUGGUGAAAUAGAGGAGGGCAGUUCAGUGACUCUGACCUGCAGCAGCGAUGCCAACCCACCAGUGCAGAGAUAC